UACGUAGGGACCGAGCGUUGUCCGGAAUCAUUGGGCGUAAAGAGCGUGUAGGCGGCCACUUAAGUCCUGCGUGAAAUCUUGCGGCUCAACCGCAAGCGGUCGUGGGAAACUGGGUGGCUAGAGUGCGGGAGAGGAGAGUGGAAUUCCUGGUGUAGCGGUGGAAUGCGCAGAUAUCAGGAAGAACACCUAUGGCGAAGGCAGCACUCUGGGACGGUACUGACGCUGAGACGCGAAAGCGUGGGGAGCGAACAGG
rnacentral:rRNA from 1 species